AUUGCCCUAGUAACGGCGAGUGAAGCGGCAACAGCUCAAAUUUGAAAUCUGGCUUCGGCCCGAGUUGUAAUUUGCAGAGGAUGCUUCUGGCGCGGUGCCUUCCGAGUUCCCUGGAACGGGACGCCACAGAGGGUGAGAGCCCCGUAUGGUCGGACACCAAGCCUGUGUGAAGCUCCUUCGACGAGUCGAGUAGUUUGGGAAUGCUGCUCUAAAUGGGAGGUAAAUCUCUUCUAAAGCUAAAUACCGGCCAGAGACCGAUAGCGCACAAGUAGAGUGAUCGAAAGAUGAAAAGCACCUUGAAAAGGGGGUUAAAUAGUACGUGAAAUUGUUGAAAGGGAAGCGUUUAUGACCAGACUUGCGCCGGGCGGCUCAUCAGGGGUUCUCCCCUGUGCAUUCCGCCCGGCUCAGGCCAGCAUCGGUUCUCGUGGGGGGAUAAGACCGCCGGGAACGUAGCACCCUCCGGGGUGUGUUAUAGCCCGGCGGACGAUACCCUCGUGGGGACCGAGGUUCGCGCUCCGCAAGGAUGCUGGCGUAAUGGUCAUCAGCGACCCGUCUUGAAACACGGACCAAGGAGUCGUCCAUUAGAGCGAGCGUUUGGGUGUAAAACCCGCACGCGUAAUGAAAGUGAACGCAGGUGAGAGCUUCGGCGCAUCAUCGACCGAUCCUGAUGUUCUCGGAAGGAUUUGAGUAAGAGUUUUAACGGACGGACCCGAAAGACAGUGAACUAUGCUUGUAUAGGGUGAAGCCAGAGGAAACUCUGGUGGAGGCUCGCAGCGGUUCUGACGUGCAAAUCGAUCGUCAAAUAUGAGCAUGGGGGCGAAAGACUAAUCGAAC
rnacentral:rRNA from 1 species